AUGCCUAUGGGUUUGUCGGAAGCACCCGGAACUUUCAUGCGUCUUAUGCAUCAUGUGCUUAGACCUUACAUUGGAGUCUUCGUUAUGGUUUACUUUGAUGAUAUCCUUGUGUUUAGCAAAACCAUGAAAGAGCACAUUAAUCAUGUUAAAUAUGUGUUGCAAACCCUCCGCAAGGAAAGACUUUAUGCAAACUUGAAGAAAUGCACUUUUGGCGUUGACAAAGUGGUUUUCUUGGGGUUUGUUGUCUCUUCCAAGGGUGUCCAUGUUGAUGAAACUAAGAUUAAAGCAAUUAAAACUUGGCCCCAACCCACCAAUUUGCAACAAGUGCGUAGCUUUCAUGGUCUUGCAGGAUUUUAUCGCCGCUUUGUGAAGAACUUCAGCACAAUUGCCGCUCCUUUACAUGCUUUGAGUAAGAAGAAUGCUCCUUUUUUUUGGGGAUCUUUGCAAUCCACAGCUUUUGAUGAGCUCAAAUCUUUGCUUACUCAUGCUCCGAUUCUUGCUUUGCCCAACUUUGAGAAAACGUUUGAGGUUCAUUGUGAUGCAAGUGGUACCGGAAUUGGUGGAGUUUUGAUGCAAGAAAAACGAGCCAUUGCUUAUUUUACUGAAACACUCUCCGGUGCUCAACUUAACUAUCCCAUCUAUGACAAAGAAUUAUAUGCCUUAGUACGUGUGCUACAUGUUUGGGAACAUUAUCUUAGACCUCAUGAAUUUGUCAUCCAUACCGAUCAUGAAACGCUUAAGUACUUAAAAGGACAAACUAAGUUGAACAAGUGUCAUGCCAAAUGGAGUGAAUUUAUUGAAUCUUUACCAUAUGUGAUCAAGUACAUUAAGGGUAAAGAAAAUGUUGUUGCGGAUGCACUUUCACGCAUAUGCACACUUGUCACUCAACUUGAGUUGAAUGUUAUUGGUUUUGAGCACAUAAAAGACUUGUAUGAGCAUGAUCCUUCUUUUGCUACUCCUUAUGCUAAGUGUUUGACGCACACGUCUUGGGAACGAUACUAUAUAAAGUACGAUUAUCUUAUGAGAGCUAACAAACUUUGCAUUCCCGAGUCUUCUCUUCGUUUGCUACUUUUGCAAGAGGCUCAUGGAGGCGGACUCAUGGGACACUUUGGACGCGACAAGACGUUCGCUACACUCUCCAAGAACUAUUAUUGGCCCAAGAUGUUCCGUGACGUCUCAUGCUUCACCACCCGAUGCUCUACAUGUCGCAAAGCUAAGUCUAAAGCUUAA
rnacentral:rRNA from 1 species